rnacentral:tRNA from 1 species
GGGGGCAUUUAUCUGUUACUGCUAAUAAUGGUUUGGUUAUUUUGUUUUGCCUGCUCCUU